AUUGUGGUUAAUGAUGCUAAACUUUUUUCCCCGUCAUAUCGACCAUGGUGAAAAGUAGCUAAAACUAAGCCAAUUUAGUCUGAAACCACAUU